UGUAGAUAAGAUAAGAUGCACCAUUUUAGGCUCAUGAUAACCUAGGCCAUAUAUAUAUAUAUAUAUAUAUUUUAUUUUUUUUUUUCUUUUUGUAGCAAUAUAAGUAGAGAUGAACAUAAAUUUUGCCUGGCAAAAAUUAAAACGUUGUUGUUUUUUACAGCUUUGGAGAAUCUCCAGCAUCAAUUCAGUUGCUUCCUGAGUUGGCUCUACAAGUUUCGAUAAGGUUCUCGAAGUGACUUAGUGGAGAAUUGGAGGACUGGAGCAAACUGCAAAAACUGAAGAAUGAGGAAGAGUGGGGGAUGUGAAGAGCUUCACUGCUUGGUGGCUACAGAUGUUGGGAAAACACAUGGAACCCACACAAUUGACCUUAUUCUGCUUCAGAUCAGUGGUUACAAUCACAUAUAAUUGCUUUAAGUAGAAGAGUUCCUCAGAGGAUGCCAAUCAAUUGCUGCGAGGAGGGUGAAACACAGGGUUUUGAGAUUUCU
rnacentral:lncRNA from 1 species